CACUGCGCGUUCCGGCGCGCCCUGAUCCGGCGGGGCUCCCUCGCUGCGCCCUCGGACGCGCGGGGAGGGGAGCUGCCGCCGUGAGGGGACGGAGGCGCCUUCCCGCUCCUUUCCUUUCGGUGCCUCCGCCUGUGGUCUGGAGUGGCCGCGGGACCCGCAGCCACCACCUGCACAGUUUGAAUUCUCUCCCACCGCUUCCUCUGUGUCCCCUUUCCCAUCCGUGGAGUGUUCCAGCUGGCGCCUAAAUAAGGAACCAAGCCCUGGUUUUGGCCUAGGGUUGAUGCUAAGCAAACAGGAUGUUGCAUAUUUUUCGUGUUCUGGAAAACUUUUCCAGAUUAUUUGGAGUACUUGAUCGGAAAGCGACUACACAGACAUCACAUAUGACUGCUUGGGGCUGAACCAAGAUCUGCUACCUCAGCCCUGUAUCUGUAAACUGCAGCUGCCACCUUAGAAGUCAUGCAUUCUUGUAUUCCUCUUCUUAAGUAUUUUUCCUAUGGUUUGUAUAAUUUUCCAUUAAGGUAAAGUACAUGGGUUUUAACCAUAUUACUACUCUUCUCAUUAGUACUUUAUGAAUUAUGUAGUAGAUGCCUGACAAAAUGAUCAUAAAAGGCAAAGCAAGUAGAAAAUCACUUGUUAGUAAGAAAUUUAAAAAAGAAAAGAGAAAAACUAACAUCUGGUCAGCUAGGCAAGGAAAUAACUGGCCUUCUGUUAGAAGGUAAAUUGAACUUUCCCAGAGUGGUUACAAUACAAAGAACUGACAAUUUGGUUAAUAUUUAAUAACAGCUUGUCCUUAGGUAUAGUCUUAUUUUGUCCCAUCUGCUGCUUGUCAGCUAUAAUAAUAUCAAACAAGAAAUGUAACACAUCUCUCUGAUUUGCAGUUCUUAUGCUUUCCGUGUAGUAUAAGAAUACAAAUGCAUUCACUGAACUUACUUAUUCCUUGAUUCUUCCAGCUGGUAUAUUUAUAUAGUGCGGUGUGCCAGUUCUGCUCCUUGGUGAGUGAUGAAAACUUGUCAGGUGUUUUCUUCUGUCCACCACUCUGUUUAUUGACUAGAACACUGCUUCUUGUUCCUGUGAUCUCAUGUACUGAGAGGCUUUAGCUCGUGUGUUAAUAUGAGCUACACCAGCUCAGCAGUGAGUGCCAUAGCUGGCUAACAAUUAGCUUGCUCAAGAAGGACAGAUUGUCAGAAAGGCAGAGCAAUAAAUGUCCAGUGAAAUCAUCUCAGUCUUGUAUAUUGGGCAGACUUCCAGCUGCUUGAAAAAACGCAGUGUGUGUGUUAAUUCAGCUAUUAACUUAAACUGGAAUCAUUAGCUUCUAACACGAAAACUUGGCUGCCUUUUGUAUUAGUCAAGUAUAAAUUCAAUGGAGGAUUAAUAAUGAGUGAGAAUAUGAUCUCAUUACAUACAUGUGAAACAUUUACUUCACAGAUUUAAAAUUCUGAGUAUUUUCUUUAGUUUUUAUAAAACCCAUAUUAUUUUCAUGUAAAAAUCCCACAAAAUGAUAGACAGUCAUCUCACUGCAAGCUAUUUUCCAAAAGCAAAUACAGAUUUUGAUAAUGCUCCACUACUAAGUCAAUAUGAGAGAAAAAUAUCAAGUGCAUUAAACAAAAUCACAGCAGAUAUUAUGUAAGAUGGUUGUCAUGGACACACUUGACCCUCACCCAUGUGUUUGCUCAGGUUGACUAAGGAGCAACAGGCCUCUGUUGUGGUGUGUUUUGUUUUGUGGAGAGUUUAGGUUUGCCCCCUAUUCUUCUCCUUAAUCUUCUCCCCUCCCCAGCUGUCAAUCUUCCCAAGCUCUUCCCUAACCUCCUCCCCUCCAAGUUGUCAAUCCUCUCUUUCCCUGCCCCUUUCCCCAGAACAUUCCUUGUCACUCCUUCUAGUCCCCUCCCCUUCUUCCAGAGUGUUCCCUGUCCAUUUAGUUAUACUCAACACCCUAUUUGUUACUUUGUGUUAUUCCACUCCCUUAUUUCCCCUGAUAGGUUUGUGAUAUGUUAGUCCCACCUCAGACCCCUCCCCAGUUCUACCUUCAUUGGUUAUUGCUCC
ensembl:lncRNA